rnacentral:rRNA from 1 species
UACAGAGGGUGCAAGCGUUAAUCGGAAUUACUGGGCGUAAAGGGCGCGUAGGCGGUGAUAUAAGUUAGAUGUGAAAUCCCUGGGCUUAACCUAGGAACUGCAUCUAAGACUGUAUCGCUAGAGUGCAGUAGAGGAUAGUGGAAUUUCCGGUGUAGCGGUGAAAUGCGUAGAUAUCGGAAGGAACACCAGUGGCGAAGGCGGCUAUCUGGACUGACACUGACGC